rnacentral:misc_RNA from 1 species
GAACGCACCUUGCGCUCCCUGGUAUUCCGGAGAGCACGCCUGUUCGAGUGUCAUGAAACUCUCAAGCAAGAAUUAAGCUUUAUUGCUUGAUUCUUGAUUGGAUUUGGACUCUUGCCGCGUUAUUGCGGCUGGUCUUAAAAGUAUUAGCUGGUCUGUAAGAAAUCUUUGGGUUUGACUUGGCGUAAUAAUCUUAUUCGCUGAGGACACUUCGGUGGCCUAAUUUCUUUACUGGACUGCUUCUAAUCGUCUCCUUUGUGAGACAACUUUCAUUCAAUCUGACCUCGAAUCAGGUGGGACUACCCGCUGAACUUAAG